GAUUAUUAUUUCUAAGAAGAAUGUUAAAAAUUCUAGAAACAAACAUGGCACGUAAUGAACACUCAAUGGACACUGGCUUGGCCUUUGGAUCAGUGACCAGCUCAAUGAGGAGCUGCUGAUACACUGUCUGUCCUUUCUGGGAUCAGCCUACAAGGUGCAAGAACAUGGCUCAUAUUUUCUGAAGACAUGACUGCAGUCUUAGUUUGGGCAUAAGUGACUUCCCAAAUCAGGAUGGAAGAUCAAGUCCACAGUUAAUAUGGGAAGAGGAUACAUGAUGUUCCGGCCAGGAGAUGAAAAGGGAGGCAUCUUUGGCCCUGGAGAACUCAAAAGAGCCAGAGUGGGCCAGGCGUGGUGGCUCACACCUGUGAUCCCAGCACUUUGG
rnacentral:lncRNA from 10 species